CCAGUAGUUUUAAGUAGUUUAUUAUCAUUCAGAGGUUUCAUAUCAACAUGUCAGAAAAUGAUCACAUGACCAACAACAAGGGACAACUUUACAUAUGACCAACUGUAGGACAAGACAAUGGAACUUUUUUGGGGGAAGAGGUAGGAGGGGGAGAGAGGAUGGAGAGGGAGAGAGGUAGGAGAGGGAGCGGGGAGGAGAGGGAGAGAGGAGGAGAGGGAGAGAGGAGAGGGGGAGGGGAGAGGGGGAGGAAAGGGAGAGAGGGAGGAGAGGGAGAGAGGAGGAGAGGGAGAGAGGAUGGAGAGGGAGAGGAGAGGGAGAGAGGAGGAGAGGGAGAGAGGAGGAGAGGGAGAGAGGAGAGGGGGAGAGGAGAGGGAGAGAGGAGGAGAGGGAGAGAGGUAGGAGAGGGAGAGAGGUAGGAGAGGGAGAGAGGAGAGGGAGAGGGGAGAGGGGAGGAGAGGGAGAGAGGUAGGAGAGGGAGAGAGGAGAGGGAGAGAGGUAGGAGAGGGAGAGAGGAGAGGGAGAGGGGAGAGGGGAGGAGAGGGAGAGAGGUAGGAGAGGGAGAGAGGAGAGGGAGAGAGAAGAAGAGGGAGAGGGGUAGGAGAGGGAGAGACCCCCUCCUCCUCAGGCUCUCCUCCCAUCGCCCAUAGCUCGGCUGGGGAGCUGCCUGGGGGUGAGGCGAUGGGUGAGGCGAGGAUCAGAAUGGGUAGAAGCUUGGGUCCCCCUUACUGGGGGGCUCUUCUCCAGGGGUUACCUGCACCUCCACUCCCUCCCCCCUCCCUCACCCCUACACCCCCCUCUGUCCCCUUCUCCACGGCCCCCUCAAUCUGUACCCCUACCGCACCUCCCACCUCAGGUUUGGGGGUCUCCUGCCCCCCCAAGGCCAUCGGGGCUUCAGUCGGGGGGUUCCCCAGGUGGGCGUGGCCGGGGUCAGGGGUCAGAGGUAAGGGGUCAAGGGUUAAGGGUGAAAGGUCAGGGUUCGGGUCCACACUCAGCCCCUGGCUCUGGUACGCUGGGAUCACUGGAGGCAGCAUCACCCUGGUGUAGACGACCU
rnacentral:lncRNA from 1 species